UACAGAGGUUCCAAGCGUUGUUCGGAUUCAUUGGGCGUAAAGGGUGCGUAGGUGGCGGCGAAAGUCUGGUGUGAAAUUUCGGAGCUUAACUCCGAAACUGCAUCGGAUACUUCGUUGCUCGAGGACUGUAGAGGAGAGUGGAAUUCACGGUGUAGCAGUGAAAUGCGUAGAUAUCGUGAGGAAGACCAGUUGCGAAGGCGACUCUCUGGGCAGUUCCUGACACUGAGGCACGAAGGCCAGGGGAGCAAACGGG
rnacentral:rRNA from 1 species